rnacentral:rRNA from 1 species
CAUUCUUUUAGAUUGAGAGCGGUUAGUGGCGGACUGGUGAGUAACACGUAAGCAACCUGCCUAUCAGAGGGGAAUAACAGUGAGAAAUCAUUGCUAAUACCGCAUAAGCUAGUAGUAUCGCAUGAUAUAGCUAGAAAAGGAGCAAUCCGCUGAUAGAUGGGCUUGCGUCUGAUUAGCUAGUUGGUGGGGUAACGGCCUACCAAGGCGACGAUCAGUAGCCGGACUGAGAGGUUGAACGGCCACAUUGGGACUGAGAUACGGCCCAGACUCCUACGGGAGGCAGCAGUCGGGAAUAUUGCGCAAUGGAGGAAACUCUGACGCAGUGACGCCGCGUAUAGGAAGAAGGUUUUCGGAUUGUAAACUAUUGUCGUGAGGGAAGAAAUUGACAGUACCUCAGGAGGAAGCUCCGGCUAACUAUGUGCCAGCAGCCGCGGUAAUACAUAGGGAGCAAGCGUUAUCCGGAUUUAUUGGGUGUAAAGGGUGCGUAGACGGGAAAUUAAGUUAGUUGUGAAAUCCCUCGGCUUAACUGAGGAACUGCAACUAAAACUGAUUUUCUUGAGUACUGGAGAGGAAAGUGGAAUUCCUAGUGUAGCGGUGAAAUGCGUAGAUAUUAGGAGGAACACCAGUGGCGAAGGCGACUUUCUGGACAGUAACUGACGUUGAGGCACGAAAGUGUGGGGAGCAAACAGGAUUAGAUACCCUGGUAGUCCACACUGUAAACGAUGGAUACUAGGUGUAGGAUGUAUUAAGCAUUCUGUGCCGCCGCUAACGCAUUAAGUAUCCCAC